rnacentral:snRNA from 1 species
GUGCUCACUUCAGCAGAACAUAUACUAAAAUUGGAAUGGUACAUAGAUUAGUAUGGCCCCUGUGCACAGACGACUUAUGCAUGCCAUAUUGAAAAGAAAAAAGA